GAAGUGGCGCAGAUGGCAGCGCACAUGGCCGGAAACCAUGAUGUCGCGGGUUCAAAUCCCGCCUUCA
rnacentral:tRNA from 1 species